rnacentral:lncRNA from 1 species
AAUUUGUUUAUUAUAUGCUAAUAUUUUUCAUUCCCUGCUAAUAUUUUUCACUUGUCUUCUACUCUUAGCCCCCAUUCACUGGGGAGAAUAGAAAGAAAACAACUGACAGCAUCCUCAAAUGUAAACUCAAUUUGCUCAAUUUGCCUCCCUACCUCACACAAGAAGCCAGAGAUCUGCUUAAAAAGGCUCAUCCAUUCUUUAGACACAUUAACUGGGAAGAACUUCUGGCUGGAAAGGUGGAGCCCCCCCCCACUUUAAACCUCUGUUGCAAUCUGAAGAGGAUGUGAGUCAGUUUGAUUCCAAGUCUACACAUCAGACACCUGUCGACAGCCCAGAUGACUCAACUCUCAGUGAAAGUGCCAGUCAGG